UACGUAGGGGGCAAGCGUUGUCCGGAUUUAUUGGGCGUAAAGAGCUCGUAGGCGGUUUGUCGCGUCUGCUGUGAAAACCUAAGGCUCAACCUUGGGCUUGCAGUGGGUACGGGCAGACUAGAGUGCGGUAGGGGUGACUGGAAUUCCUGGUGUAGCGGUGGAAUGCGCAGAUAUCAGGAGGAACACCGAUGGCGAAGGCAGGUCACUGGGACGCAACUGACGCUGAGGAGCGAAAGCAUGGGGAGCGAACAGG
rnacentral:rRNA from 1 species